rnacentral:rRNA from 1 species
GACGAACGCUGGCGGCGUGCUUAACACAUGCAAGUCGAGCGGAGCGGCGAACGGGUGAGUAACGCGUGAGUAACUGCCCCCCUCUCUGGGAUAACAGUUGGAAACGGCUGCUAAUACCGGAUAGUGGGGGAUGAGUCGCGUCCUAUCAGCUUGGUGGUGGGGUAGUGGCGUACCAAGGCGACGACGGGUAGCCGGCCUGAGAGGGCGACCGGCGACAUGGGGCGGGUAUACGGCCCAGAGUCCGACGGGAGGGGGCAGUGGGGGAUAUUGCACAAUGGGCGAAAGACGGAUGCAGCGACGCCGCGUGGGGGAUGAAGGCUUUCGGGUUGUAAACCUCGCCUUGUAAGGCUCGGGUAGGUGGAGAAGAAGCGCCGGCUAACUACGUGCCAGCCGCCGCGGUAAUAC